AUCAACUUAAACGUUUUAAUAUAUUAUUUUUCGUUUCUAGAAUGGAUUAUUUCAGGAAGGUUUGUCUUUGAUCAAAUAUUCUGUUACAUUUCCAGGAUGGAUUGCAAACAAAAUUAUGAGGAUUCUUGGUAAAUUUAAUGUUCACAUGAGUGUAAUUUUGGAGAAAAACGGUUCAAACGUGAAAAGAUGGAAUUAUGACCUCGAUAAACAUUGGUUUUAGUUAUUUAUAGACUUCGUUAUGGAUAACACAAAGCAACAACUUGAACUCAUCGAGUUGUUUUGAUUGCCAGAAAGGAAGGAAAUAAUUAAUCAGUGGACAAUUCAGACGAAUAACUUGGAACUGUUGGUUUGUGAUGAUUAGGAAGAUGUUGGGAAAGACAAUAGUGAGAGAAAAGAAGUGAUUUCACUUGGACAAAAUUGUCUCGAAGAAAAUUUUCAGUCGCUCCAGAUAACAGAUAGCAAGACGACAAACAAGACUUUCUUACUAGAGAGAAAAUAAAUAAUUCUACAUGAACAAAAUCAACUAUACUUACUCAUAAUGGAAAACAAUAAAUUCCAGAUUAUCGGCAUAGCAAAACUUUCCCAAGAAAAUCAUUGUAGGGUGGCUUGCAACGGAAACAGGGAUGAGGAUUCCUGAAACUUGUUGAGCUGUUUCAAUCGAAGAAGCCUGGGAAGAAAGAAAUCGAGAUGAUGUCAAUCAGAAGAGUAGAAAAUACUUAAUCAAAGGACAAACGGGAGAAAAGAAUUAAUUUCACUUGGACAAAAUCAACUACAGCAAUUUAAGAUGUAAAACGAUAAAUUGCAGCUUAUCGGCAAAGCAAGAUUUUCCUCUGAACGAAGG